ACCAUAUCAGGGCUCCGGGCUUUCCUUGUAGCCUGAGCGCCCGACCUAGGUGUGGUAGAUGAAUUGAACGGUCGCUUCAACAGGGCGUGCAAACGUCACCUCACGUGCGCUGCCCUGUGCCGCGGCCAUACAUUU
rnacentral:snoRNA from 1 species